rnacentral:lncRNA from 1 species
CUAGAAAAACCGCCCGCAGCUCCUUCCCUCUCUUGUUCGCCUCCCACGAUGGGUAGAAAAUUUGAAGACGCCGCUCCCCAUUCUGGCGAACCAGAAACCCUAGAAAUCCCAGCCAGCGAACGAGUGCAGAAGAGGUCAGAGAGGAAGAGCAAGAAGAAAAACAAAAAGGAGAAGAAGAAAGAGGGGGCGGAGGGAUGCGAGAAUGGAGACUUCGUCGCAGAAGAAACCCUAAACCUAUAUCCCACAAAGAACGGAAAGAAAGAAUCCAAGAAGAAGAGGAAGCUUGCGGAGGUNNNNNNNNNNNNNNNNNNNNCACGAGCGCAUCGUCUCCUACUCAUGCCGUCCCACCGUAGACCGUCGGCCCCCUGUGCUCGUGCCACCCCCACCCUCUCUUCUUCUCCACCAUAGGCCGCCCCCCCAUCUCCCUUCCGCAAGCACGCCGCCUCCUACUCGUGCCGUCACCCACCCACCUCUACCCUUGGUGACGAUACCAUUACCGAGCUCUGCCCCUCCUCCUUUGCCCUUCGUGCACACCUCCACCAACUCCUCCUUUGGCCUUUCCCAACUCCGCCCCCUUACCAAAGCUUUCGGGGAAAAAAAUAUUAAAUUUAACCCUGAUGUUUGGAGUAUUUACCACAUCAGUUAUGCACAUUUGGUACUCCAACUGAUGGUUGAUGGAGAAAUCCAAAUCAUCCAUUUUUAAUUCGAUGAUCGAAAAUAAAUUAAUUAUAAAAAGACUAAACUACUGAUUGGAGCACCAUAGCAAAACCCUUCAUUUUUUGUUGUACAGAGAAAAAAGAGUAUUUUCACCACUGAAAAUUAGGAAAAGUAAAAAAUUGAGCAGUAUUAAAUGUUUGUUUCAUCUAAAUGCACUGCAUAUCCCAAUAUUAUUGAACGGUGCGUUACUAUUUUACUGCACACGGUAUACAAAGAAUUACUCUUUUCUCCUUUUCAAAACUUGGACGUUGUUAUCUAAUUCAUAUAGGCUAUAGCCCGCAAUCAACCAUGGCCCAUGCUCUAUAACUAUCAUGGAGAAAUUCUUGGUGCAUCGCGGACGAUGUAGAAAAUUCGAUGUGGAGCGUACUAUUUUAUGUGAUUAAUUGAUCCACAUAGCCAUCACUUUUAAAUCCGUAUUUAAUAUUUAUAAUUUUAUUUUUUCGUUUAAAAAUUUUAUAUGAUGAAAAUAUCUCUAUUCUUUGNNNNNNNNNNNNNNNNNNNNAUAUCAUAAUAUAGCUCAAGAGAAAGUCAUAAUUUAACGCAGGAUGUCAUAAUAUACUACAGAAUAUUAUAUUAUAAAAAAAUAUUUUUAUCCAACUACUUUUCAACGUGCAUUUAAUGUUUGUAGUUUCAUUUUUUUGUUUGAAAAUUUUAAAUGAUAAAAAUAUUUUUAUUUUUUGAAAAAAAUUAUGACAUCCUGUAUUAAAAUUAUGAUUUUCUGUACGUAGAAUAUUAUAAUAUGAAUAUAAGAUGCUAUAAUUUUUUUUAAAAAUAAAAAUAUUUUAAUUAUUUAAAAUUUUUAAAUAAAAAAUUAUAAAUAUUAAAUAUAUAUUUAAAAAUAGUAGCUACAUGGAUUAAUAACAUAAAACCACUGUACGUCGGAUUUCUUGCGCUGCCCGCGGUGGACAAAGAAUUUCCCAACUAUCACGUGUCCACGACGUGCACUCGGAACAUCGAAGCCCUAGAAAAACCGCCCGCAGCUCCUUCCCUCUCUUGUUCGCCUCCCACGAUGGGUAGAAAGUUUGAAGACGCCGCUCCCCAUUCUGGCGAACCAGAAACCCUAGAAAUCCCAGCCAGCGAACGAGUGCAGAAGAGGUCAGAGAGGAAGAACAAGAAGAAAAACAAAAAGGAGAAGAAGAAAGAGAGGGCGGAAGGAUGCGAGAAUGGAGACUUCGUCGCAGAAGAAACCCUAAACCUAUAUCCCACAAAGAACGGAAAGAAAGAAUCCAAGAAGAAGAGGAAGCUUGCGGAGGUNNNNNNNNNNNNNNNNNNNNGGAGCUCCAUCCCAUCGAGAGUUCACAAGCCGACGAGAAGAACUCGGAGAAAAAGGAGAAGAAGAACAAUAAGCAGGAGAAAGAAAA